UCCACUCCCUUCAAUUUCCCAGGGCUUGGUGAGACAGGGAAAAAAGUGCUGUCAAAGGUUUUCCCCUUCCCUUCCAAAGUAUAAGCCCCUGGGGUUCCCGGCAGGGAUUUGGCAGCCACAGGAAUGUGUGGGAAUACACGAGACUUCAGGACAGGGCUUAGGAGUGUGUGCUGUUGUGAGAAAUGUCUCACUGAGGACUUCUUGGCAUCACACUCACCCCAAAUCUCAGAGCAAAAACGCACAUGCUGUACCCCCAUACCCUGGUUUCUCCCAGGUGCGUGUCCUUGUUUGCAGCAGCCUGAAACAAGCGUGUGCCCAGAGUCCCUGGCAAGGGAUGAGCACAGUGCCGCAGUAUUCGCCGAUAUUGCGCCUUUAGGGCGUGAAGGAGUUAAACUUUUCGGAUGGAAAGCGAACCGAAGAUCAGACUAGCAGCCUGGUGACCUCCCGCCGCUGGGACAGCAGCAGCAGCAGCUCCCAGCCCAGCCCGAGUUCCAUCCAUCCAUCCAUCCGUCCGUCCGUCCGUCCGUCCGUCCAUCGGCGGGGCGCGGUGCUGCAGCUCACGACCACAUCUGGCCUUGACCUUCUCAGCAGCAGAUCAGGGUCCCAAAGCCCUUCACUACAAGACAUCUGCACCUUUCAGAGUGGCAGCCUUGAUGUAAAUAGAUAGACAGGGACACACUUCGCUUGGAUCAGUGGAGCAGAUCCUGGUAGCAAAGCCAAGACUGUAAGUGCGUGCUGGGUGAGCGGGUGGGCACAGGCUUCCCUCGGGAUAGGGACACACAGGGACACCUCACCGCAGCUUCCAGGGACCCAGUAAGUGUCAUGAGAUGUCUCGGCGACCUCCAAAAAUUAAGUUUGCAGCAAGGCAGCUGGAGUAGUUCUAUUGACUCUGCUGUCAUCAAAUGAGUCAGCGGCAAGUCACAGUCUCCUAUGUCAGCAGGGAGUGGCCCGCCAGGAAAUCAGUCACAAAAGUGGGGGAAAAAGCAAGGACCCCCCUCAAGAAUUCGAACCGUAAUUGACUGCUUUUAGAGGUUUCUAUUAUUUUCAAAUGGCCGAUAAAAUCGUGUGUGUCGGCACAGAAGUUGCCGUCCCAUUGCCACAUCGCACCCCGUGGGAGCACCCUCAGCCUCUCCCGGCGCGGGCUGUGCAGAACCGAAC